CCUACGGGAGACUGCAGUGGGGAAUAUUGCACAAUGGGGGAAACCCUGAUGCAGCGACGCCGCGUGAGUGAAGAAGUAAUUCGUUACGUAAAGCUCUAUCAGCAGGGAAGAAACACUGACCUUACGGUCAGCAGACGGUACCUGAGUAAGAAGCCCAGGCUAACUACGUGCCAGCAGCCGCGGUAAUAAGUAAGGGGCAAGCGUUAUCCGGAUUUACCGGGUGUAAAGGGAGCGUAGACGGUGCGACAAGUCUGUAGUGAAAUGCCGCAGCUUAACUGCGGAACUGCUUUGGAAACUGGCGAACUCGAGUGCGGGAGGGGUAAGCGGAAUUCCUAGUGUAGCGGUGAAAUGCGUAGAUAUUAGGAGGAACACCGGUGGCGAAGGCGGCUUACUGGACCGUAACUGACGUUGAGGCUCGAAAGCGUGGGGAGCAAACAGGAUUAGAUACCCUUGUAGUC
rnacentral:rRNA from 1 species